UACAGAGACUGCAAGCGUUUAUUCGGAUUCACUGGGCGUAAAGAGCGCGCAGGCGGUCGAUCAAGUCGAGUGUGAAAGCCCCCGGCUCAACUGGGGAGGGUCAUUCGAUACUGAUCGACUCGAAGGCAGGAGAGGGUAGUGGAAUUCCCGGUGUAGUGGUGAAAUGCGUAGAUAUCGGGAGGAACACCAGUGGCGAAGGCGACUACCUGGCCUGUUCUUGACGCUGAGGCGCGAAAGCUAGGGGAGCAAACGGG
rnacentral:rRNA from 1 species